GUGGGCGUAGGAAAUUUGAGAGGAGCUGUCCUUAGUACGAGAGGACCGGGAUGGACCAACCUCUGGUGCACCAGUUGUUCCGCCAGGAGCACAGCUGGGUAGCUAUGUUGGGAAGGGAUAAACGCUGAAAGCAUCUAAGCGUGAAGCCUACCUCAAGAUUAGAUUUCCCAUAGCGUAAGCUAGUAAGACCCCUGAAAGACUAUCAGGUUGAUAGGUUGGAGGUGUAAGUACAGUAAUGUAUUCAGCUGAACAAUACUAAUAGGUCGAGGGCUUGAUCAAAUU
rnacentral:rRNA from 1 species